rnacentral:lncRNA from 1 species
AAAAUUGAGAACUGGGUGGCUGGAAAUUGGAAAGACUAAUUGCAGAUUUCAUUUCUUGUUGAUCUAGAAAACUUUUCUUACUUUCUUUUUACAUGGACAGAUGCAACACCAAGCCUCAGAUUGCUCAGACAGAUGCAACACCAAGCCUCAGAUUGCUCACUGCGCAUAAAUACAUGUCAAUUUUGUGGAGACAUGGUUCAAGCUGGAAGCUCCGCUAUGGAUGCUCAUGACAGAUUAAAAGGACUUUCAG